UGGGGAAUAUUGCACAAUGGGCGCAAGCCUGAUGCAGCCAUGCCGCGUGUGUGAAGAAGGCCUUCGGGUUGUAAAGCACUUUCAGCGAGGAGGAAGGGUAGUGUGUUAAUAGCACAUUGCAUUGACGUUACUCGCAGAAGAAGCACCGGCUAACUCCGUGCCAGCAGCCGCGGUAAUACGGAGGGUGCAAGCGUUAAUCGGAAUUACUGGGCGUAAAGCGCACGCAGGCUGUUUGUUAAGUCAGAUGUGAAAUCCCCGCGCUUAACGUGGGAACUGCAUUUGAAACUGGCAAGCUAGAGUCUUGUAGAGGGGGGUAGAAUUCCAGGUGUAGCGGUGAAAUGCGUAGAGAUCUGGAGGAAUACCGGUGGCGAAGGCGGCCCCCUGGACAAAGACUGACGCUCAGGUGCGAAAGCGUGGGGAGCAAACA
rnacentral:rRNA from 1 species